rnacentral:rRNA from 1 species
UACGGAGGGAGCUAGCGUUGUUCGGAAUUACUGGGCGUAAAGCGCACGUAGGCGGCGAUUCAAGUCAGAGGUGAAAGCCCGGGGCUCAACCCCGGAACUGCCUUUGAAACUAGAUUGCUAGAAUCCUGGAGAGGUGAGUGGAAUUCCGAGUGUAGAGGUGAAAUUCGUAGAUAUUCGCAAGAACACCAGUGGCGAAGGCGGCUCACUGGCCCGGUACUGACGCUGAGGUGCGAAAGCGUGGGGAGCAAACAGG